CACCACCAAUCAGUGACUUAAGAGACCGAUGGCCUGCUCUUUUCGAUGCAACUCAGAUAAAUGAAGAAUUCAGAAGGAUCACCACUGUUGGCCUUGAGACAACAUUCAUGGCAAAACUGGACCAGUAUACCCCGAAAAUAAUGGCACUGGUGUCCUCAAGAGGAGGAGCUGCAAAAAUGAAGAUUCAGCACAUAAAGAACAUGCUGCUAGAGGAACAGACGGUAGAAAGGAGGAGAGAAGCUGCAAUCCGUAGCCUAAUCAUGUACAUGAGAGAACAGGAGGAGGAUCUCAUCAAAGAACAGUUGGUAGGUAAUCCAACACUUCAACUGAUAACUUCAGGAUUUAACCUGGGCAGUAUUUAGGGAUGGCAGACAGUGCAACUG